rnacentral:rRNA from 1 species
CUACCAUGCAGUCGAGCGGUAACAGAAAGUAGCUUGCUACUUUGCUGACGAGCGGCGGACGGGUGAGUAAUGCUUGGGAACAUGCCUUGAGGUGGGGAACAACAGUUGGAAACGACUGCUAAUACCGCAUAAUGUCUACGGACCAAAGGGGGCUUCGGCUCUCGCCUUUAGAUUGGCCCAAGUGGGAUUAGCUAGUUGGUGAGGUAAUGGCUCACCAAGGCGACGAUCCAUAGCUGGUUUGAGAGGAUGAUCAGCCACACUGGGACUGAGACACGGCCCAGACUCCUACGGGAGGCAGCAGUGGGGAAUAUUGAACAAUGGGCGCAAGCCUGAUCCAGCAAUGCCGCGUGUGUGAAGAAGGCCUGAGGGUUGUAAAGCACUUUCAAUUGUGAAGAAAUGCUAAUGAUUAAUACUCAUUAGUCUUGACGUUAACUUUAGAAGAAGCACCGGCUAACUCUGUGCCAGCAGCCGCGGUAAUACAGAGGGUGCAAGCGUUAAUCGGAAUUACUGGGCGUAAAGCGCGCGUAGGUGGUUUGAUAAGUUGGAUGUGAAAUCCCCGGGCUUAACCUGGGUCGGUCAUCCAAAACUGUCAGACUAGAGUAUGGUAGAGGGUAGUGGAAUUUCUAGUGUAGCGGUGAAAUGCGUAGAUAUUAGAAGGAACACCAGUGGCGAAGGCGACUGCCUGGACUGAUACUGACACUGAGGUGCGAAAGCGUGGGUAGCGAACAGGAUUAGAUACCCUGGUAGUCCACGCCGUAAACGAUGUCACUAGAUGUGGGGGGAUUCACCAUUAGUAUCGCAGCUAACGCAUUAAGUUGACCGCCUGGGGGAGUACCGGCCCUACCAUGCAAACUUCGA